rnacentral:lncRNA from 1 species
CCCCAAUCCAACGGUUCUAAUUCCCCGCCUUUGACUACCCGCACAUUUCCCCCGAUUAUCCCACGGGGUUACUGCGUUAAAUCGACUCUACCAUUUAAUUCACCCUCUUUGUUGUUUUAUUUUUCAAGAAAACUAAAGUUCUUCCUUAUCCUGAAGCUUCUCACAAGAGACAUAUUGGUUAAUACUUCAGUUUCUUUUCUUUUGGGUAUCUUCAAAUUUCUCUAUUUUAUCGUUUAUAUUUAUUUUUUGGAUAUGAUUUUUCUUAUGGAGCGUGAUUCUGAAUUUCCCAGCGUAUUUGUGUGUACAAAAUUAUGAAUCUUGGAUGACUAUUGAAUAUUAUACUGCUGAUAAUUAUGCGUGUGGGGUUACUCUAUUUUUUCUUGCUGAGAAGAUUAUUUUUUGAUGUGAUUUUAUUGCAUUCUUCCUUUUUUUUUUUCUGCCAAUCUCAAGCUUUUUGUUUUUAUUGAUUUCUUGUAAAUUUUCUCUAUGGGUAUUGUUUUCUUUUGAUGUGAUUGCGAAUUUAAACAUGUCUACUGUAUCUGAGAGUUUGUGUGCUAAAAAAAUUAUGAACCUCUAUUGACCAUGAACAUUACGCUGCUGAGAUUUAUGUACGAGGGUUAUUUUAGUUUGUUGUUGAAGAAAAGGAACAGGUUUUGAUAGUUUUUAUUGCUGAUAUGUGAAUAUUGGUGCUUAUUUUUGUGGGUUUUGCUUUUGAUUUUACAUGGAGAGUUUCUGAUAUGUAAAUGUCCGUGCAUUAUUAUAAAUUUAUAGUUUGAGAUUUUUGUUAGUAUUCUCGAUCCGUCAUUUUUUUUUUGACUAAAUAUCUUUGUGAAUUUAUAUUGAAAUUUUAUUACCUGCAUUUCUUGGUUUAUGAGUUUCCUUAUUUCCCCUAAAUCUGUUUUGAUGUUGCCUUGAGAAUUAACUUAUUCUAAGAUUAUUCUGUGUGUAUAUAUAGCCUUUGUAGUAUUUUUUUUUCCUCCAAAAGGCUAGCUAUUUGGUUUCUGAUAUUUCUUUGUGCAAAUAUUAAUUUGUGGUUUCCAAUUUUUUCUCUUCAGAAUAGGUUUAGGUUGAAUCUUAUACAAAUUUGGGCUGAAGAAGUGGAUAAACAUGCCUUGGGCUUCUCGUUAUUGUGGAAAGUGUGUGCGAUUGGUAGCAUUCUUUUGGGUUAUCCUGUAAUUUGAUUUCAUUUGGUGAGAUUUCUCCCUCCUUAUCUCUCUAUAUGUAAAUCACUCUUUCUGUGUAUGAAUGUUUAUAUCACUAUUCAUUUGCGUAUUUUCUUGGAAAAAUUUGGAUAUUGAUAAUAACAACAUAUUUUCCAUACAAAAUCCUUUGUAACUACUCACCAACUACAAACUAACGUUAUUCUAAUGAAAAAAUGUUUCAAGAGUUAGGUAAAGACACAAGUUUGUGCAAGAUUACACGCUCAUGUAUAGUUGUGUGCAUGUAUUUAGAUUUUGUAUUCAUUAAAGAUUAAUUGAAAUUUGGAGGAAAUUGUUUCCAAAUUCAAUUCCAAGGCUCCAAUUUCAUGCUUCUGAAUGUAAGCUGACAAUUUUUGGGAAAUUAGGAAAAAAAAAUAAAUAAAUAAAAUUUUCAUUGUGAUUGAGUUGAAGUCCUACAACAUGAUAUUUUAUGUUGAAAUAAAUUCCUAUUUGAUUUUUUGCAUUAACUGGAGGCUGGAUUUUAAAAUUCUAUGUUUUUUCCCCUUUUAUUGUCUCAAAAACUAUUCUAAGAUUGGGAACAUUUUGCAGGUGCAUCUUGUCCAGUGGUGAAAUUUCCAUUGAUUUAUUUCGUGUUUUUACCUAAAAUUGGAAGGAGUAGCAAGAAUGUACAUUGCAAUUUCCCAAAAGAAACAUCGUAAAGUAAAGGAAGUUGGAAAAUUUGAAAUGACUGUUGGAACUAUUGCUUUCUACCAAUUGAUGCAAGUUUGUCAGGUGAGUGUGCUUCUUGUUUGCAGUAAUUAUGUUGUACAAGUAGCUUGCUUUAAUCUUCAGUCUGAUAUCUAAUAUAUGAUGCACCGACACGAUACGUGUCGGAUAUGUCGAUUCGUCAUUUUUCAAAAAAGUACCGACACGACACGUCGUCAUCACGUUGAUUAAAUUCUUUAAAAAUUUUCAUUUAUAUAGUAUAAAUUUAAUUUUAUACUUAUUAUUGAUUUUUCUUGUUGAAAUCUUUUAAAUAUGAGUGUUUAUUUGUUAUUUACUAAUAAUUUUGAGUUAAAAAUAUAUAAUAGCUACAGUAAGAAAGAAAAAUGAUUAUUGUAAAGUGUCCGAAAAGUGUCGGUAUCGACACGUGUCGGACACAAAUACGCUACUCUAGUUAGAGUAUUCGUGCUAUAGAGUAUCUAAUUAAUAUCAAUAAUGCUGAACUUAUCUCAAUUCAUUUUGCCCCUUUUAUUUAUUUAUUUAUUUAUUUAUUUAUUUAUUUUUAACUCAGAUUCUUUCUUCUAUAAAUUUGGAAAUUUGAUUUAUUUUCUUUUUUCAUAAGCUAUAUUAUAUCAGAUUUUGUGGACGGAUUCAUGGGGCAGUGUGUAUCUCUCUUAUUUGGCUGUUUUAGUUUCAAGUUAAUAGUGGUUAGCUAGUUCAUUGACUUAUUUUGCUUUACAGGCUGAAUAUUUCCGUCAGUUGCUUAAACCUGUUACGUAGUCCUGUACGGUGAUAAGCUUGUAAGACUGGGAUUGGUAGCCUUUUCCUUUCUCUGUGUUGAAAUUUUUUGAAGUGGCAUUGUAUACGCCUUAGGUGUACCACAAACGUCUUUUUUGUUAGUUUAUUCCCCUAAAACUUUUGGCAAUUUGAAAUCGAAGAGAACCCUUUUGAAAGCUGCAGAUUUGUGUAUCAGUGAAGUUGUUUACUGUUCCAAAUGCAUAGUGACCGAAAAUAUUUCCCUCAAAAUCCUGUCCUUCCUCAUCCCAAUCAAGUGGGCAGUUACUACAUGAGCAAAGCUCCUAUUCAAUCCAUUUUUGGUGGAACAGUUCUGCCCUCGGGUAUAAAACCUUCUAGGCUGUUCCAUGGUGUUGACUUUCUGACCUCUGAUGCAUGCCCGAGGAAUUUCGUAAUCUUUGACAAAACAAAAAAUAGAAGCCAAAUCAUGUUCCAUCCCGAGAUUGGUUCUAAGUUUCCUCAUCCUGAUUUUGGUGUUGGCAUGUCUAACUGCCUAGACAAUAUUGGUUGGAAGGACAAGAAGGAAGACAGAGAAAGAACUUCUUUCACAGAAGAUUCAUAUGAUAUUGAUGCUCUAUUGAGCACAGAAUAUGAACAUGAGGAGUAUGAUGGAGAUAAGCUGAGCACAGGACGAACCGAUGCAAACUAUGGAAGCGAAUCCUCAGAUUCAUGUUCUAAUUACGAAUCUCCGUCUAGAAAGAGGAGGUCACCUCCUUCCAAGAAGUCUUCUAAGGACAAGAAACGCCAGAAAAUGAGGAAAAUGGUGAAGGCAUUAAGAGGUAUUGUUCCGGGUGCCAACCAGAUGAGUACUGUAGCUGUUCUUGAUGAN